GUAGGGUGCAAGCGUUAUCCGGAAUCAUUGGGCGUAAAGAGCUCGUAGGCGGUUCAGCAAGUCGGCUGUGAAAUCCCGAGGCUUAACCUCGGAACUGCAGUCGAUACUGCUGUGACUAGAGUCCGGUAGAGGAGAAUGGAAUUCCCGGUGUAGCGGUGAAAUGCGCAGAUAUCGGGAGGAACACCAGUAGCGAAGGCGGUUCUCUGGGCCGGUACUGACGCUGAGGAGCGAAAGCGUGGGGUAGCAAACAGGAUUAGAUACCCUGGUAGUCCACGCCGUAAACGUUGGACACUAGGUGUGGCGUUCCGACCAACGGGUGCCGUGCCGAAGCUAACGCAUUAAGUGUCCCCGCCUGGGGAUACGGCCGCAAGGCUA
rnacentral:rRNA from 1 species